UACGUAGGGUGCAAGCAUUAUCCGGAAUUAUUGGGCGUAAAGAGUUUGUAGGCGGUGAGUUAAGUAGGAGGUUAAAUCUUCGGGCCCAACCCGAAAGCUGUCUCCUAAACUGGCUUACUAGAGGUAUGUAGAGGCAAGUGGAAUUUCCGGUGUAGGGGUAAAAUCCGUUGAGAUCGGAAGGAACGCCAAAAGCGAAGGCAGCUUGCUGGACAUACCUGACGCUGAGAAACGAAAGCGUAGGGAGCAAACAGG
rnacentral:rRNA from 1 species